rnacentral:rRNA from 1 species
CCUACGGGUGGCAGCAGUGGGGAAUAUUGCACAAUGGACGGAAGUCUGAUGCAGCGACGCCGCGUGAGUGAAGAAGGCAUUCGGUUUGUAAAGCUCUAUCAGCAGGGAAGAAAGUGCUGGUACUUGAAUAUGAACGUCCGGCUAAUUACGUGCCAGAAGGCGCGGUAAUACGGAGGGCGCAAGCGUUAUCCGGAAUUACUGGGUGUAAAGGGAGCGUAGGUGGAUGGGCAAGUCCGACGUGAAAGCCCAAGGCUCAACCAGGGAUCUGCAUUAGAGACUGGUCAGCUAGAGUGCAGGAGAGGCAAGUGGAAUUCUAAGUGUAGCGGUGAAAUGCGUAGAGAUCAGGAGGAACACCAGUGGCGAAGGCGGCUUGCUGGACUGUAACUGACGCUGAGGCUCGAAAGCGUGGGGAGCAAACAGGAUUAGAUACCCUAGUAGUC